CCUACCCCUCUCGCCCCUCCCCUUCCCCCACCCAACCAAACCAACCAGCCCACCCGGCACCCUUCCUCCUCCAAGAAAGCAAAGCCAUGCCCUCUGACGGGGGAUGAGAUCUGCGCCUGCGGGGAAUUUAUUGGCUCUCUCCACCGGCGAGGCUUGGGGAGGCCGACGUUCCCUGUCGAGACCCGUCGCGCACGUCCUCCAGCGCCACCCGCAGCACGUCGAGUACACCACCACCCUGGAGUGCCUCGGCCUGGCCGACCUCUCGUCCCCGCACCCCCGGGCGCGUGCCGCCGCCAUGGGCAUCAUGCCCCUCCAAGUCCAUGCAGUGGGCGCCGCCGAGGAAACGAUGCAAUGGCUCUCCCCAACACCCCUCCCGUGGACUACCCCAGUUUCAAGCUCGUCCUCGUCCGCGACAGCAACACCGGCAAGACAAUGUUCGUGUAGAGGCAUAUCAUCGGGGAGUUCGAGAAGAAGUACGAACGUAAGUGAGCCUGUCGAUGAUUCUAGUUUGGUUCCUUCCCCGCCCCUCGAUCGCAUCUCGUGUUUCUGUUGAGGGAUGAUGUUGCCUUUGAUGUUGUUGACUGUUGUUGUUGAUCUGCACGAUGUUCUGUAGCGAUGAUCGGUGUGGAGGUGCGGUCACUGGACUUCCAGAUGAGCCACGUCAAGAUCAGGUUCUACUGCUGGGACACAGCCGGACAGGAGAAGUUCGGUGGCCUCCGUGACGGAUACUAGUGAUCAUUGGUGCUGUUGCUGCCGCUGUGCAAGUCGGAGGUGUCGCUGCUACAUUUGGUGGAGCUAGUGCUGCCGCUCCAAAGGGCAACCUUCAUCAGACACUACCUCAUAAUAGUGCCUCAAAGUUCUGUGCCCCAUCUCCCCUCUUUCUAAAUUACUAUAAAAACAUUGUAAAUACUAGUAGGAAAACAUGUCAAAUUUUUUGUGUAUAUAACUGGAAUAACCCUGCAGUUUGGUUCCGCAGAGUGGUAAAUUCAACCUUGAUGCUUUAUGGGUUUGUGUUCCUUUGUUUUAUUUCCCUUUUGAUCUGUAUUGUCAGUUGGCUAGUUCUGCACUUGUCUUUUUUUUCAACCUUGUUUCAUACUGGUAGAAAAAUAAGGAACCGGAACAUCAUCGGCUUUUGUGGGAAAUACUGAUCUUGACAUUGUGACAAUUCAUCCUGUGACUCUUCUCUGAUCUCCAAUAAAGAGAGUAAACUUGGCCCAAUUUAUUUGUCUGCAAAUGAUUGGGUGUGACCCACAAAGAAUUGUUCUGGUUACUUAUUUUUUUAGGGUGGUUCCUCUUUUUUUACUGGUUCAUCCGCUCCUUUGUGAUUGAUCUAUUGGCUCCGGCCGCUCCUUCGUGAUAGAUUCGAUUAACUCUUUAUUAGCCUUGUGGGUCGUAAUUCUUCCUCUACAGACGCAUAUACUGCCUGGCGUAUUGCUCAUGCUCAUUCUGUACAGAGAUAGUCCUAAUAUCCGUAGGGUUGUAGAUUGAUUUCCCCUGAAAAAGCUACGCUUCUUUCCUCGGAUGAUAAGCAUGUUCGGCAUCUAUGUUUAAUCCUUAAGAUAAAUGGUCUUUAGUUUCUUUUGGUGCAUCUGCGUGCACAUAACAGUCUGUUAGUUUCUCUUUAUAUAAUUAAGAAAAUAUGAUGAUGUCGUUUGUUUAUUAUUAUCUAUCAUCUGUAGAUUGAGUUUUAGGCCACCAAUACUUGUAUGUAUAAUUUCUAGUCUCUUGAAUGAAUAAUUUUCCUUUAGGUGUCAUGCGUCUUGUGUUACUACAUACAUCUGUCAUGAAGUGCAUGGUUCCGGAACUAUGGUAACCCGUAGUUUGCUCUACUGGUGACAGUAGUAUGAUGGAAACAUCGACACUGAAUGUAGUUCCUGUUUCUUCAACUAAUCAUCAUUUACUAGAGUAUCUCUUGUUCUUGCUCCUGCUUGGUUUUUGACGCCACUAGCUUGUACUGAAACAUGCAGACUUUACCCCUUGCUAGAUCCUUCGGUGGAGGUGACCCAUGUGAUGGUGA